AAUGAACGCUGGCGGCGCGCCUAAUACAUGCAAGUCGAGCGAGAAGACGUAGCAAUACGUUUGUAAAGCGGCGAACGGGUGAGGAAUACAUGGGUAACCUACCCUCGAGUGGGGAAUAACUAGCCGAAAGGUUAGCUAAUACCGCGUACGCUCCUUGGACUUCGGUUCAGGGAGGAAAGCGAUACCGUGGGUAUCGCGCUCUUGGUUGGGCUCAUGUCCUAUCAGCUUGUUGGUGAGGAACGGCUCACCAAGGCUUCGACGGGUAGCUGGUCUGAGAGGACGAUCAGCCACACUGGCACUGCGACACGGGCCAGACUCCUACGGGAGGCAGCAGUAAGGAAUAUUGCGCAAUGGGCGAAGGCCUGACGCAGCGACGCCGCGUGGGGGAUG
rnacentral:rRNA from 1 species